CGGACGGGUGAGUAACACGUAGGUAACCUACCCAUCAGCGGGGGAUAACACUUGGAAACAGGUGCUAAUACCGCAUAAUUGCUUUUAUCGCAUGAUAGAAGUAUGAAAGACGCUUUCGGGUGUCACUGAUGGAUGGACCUGCGGUGCAUUAGCUAGUUGGUGAGGUAAAGGCUCACCAAGGCAACGAUGCAUAGCCGACCUGAGAGGGUGAUCGGCCACACUGGGACUGAGACACGGCCCAG
rnacentral:rRNA from 1 species